rnacentral:rRNA from 1 species
GAUGAACGCUGGCGGCGUGCUUAACACAUGCAAGUCGAACGGAAAGGCCCAAGCUUGCUUGGGUACUCGAGUGGCGAACGGGUGAGUAACACGUGGGUGAUCUGCCCUGCACUUCGGGAUAAGCCUGGGAAACUGGGUCUAAUACUGGAUAGGACCACUUCUUGGAUGGUGUGGUGGAAAGUUUUUUCGGUGUGGGAUGAGCUCGCGGCCUAUCAGCUUGUUGGUGGGGUAAUGGCCUACCAAGGCGUCGACGGGUAGCCGGCCUGAGGGGGUGUACGGCCACAUUGGGACUGAGAUACGGCCCAGACUCCUACGGGAGGCAGCAAUGGGGAAUAUUGCACAAUGGGCGCAAGCCUGAUGCAGCGACGCCGCGUGGGGGAUGACGGCCUUCGGGUUGUAAACUCCUUUCGCUAGGGACGAAGCGUUUUUGUGACGGUACCUGGAGAAGAAGCACCGGCUAACUACGUG